UUUGACCUACGGGAGGCAGCAGUGGGGAAUAUUGGGCAAUGGGCGCAAGCCUGACCCAGCAACGCCGCGUGAGGGAAGACGGUCUUCGGAUUGGAAACCUCUGUCUUUGGGGAAGAAGAUGACGGUACCCAAAGGGGAAGCUCCGGCUAACUACGUGCCAGCAGCCGCGGUAAUACGUAGGGAGCGAGCGUUGUCCGGAAUUACUGGGUGUAAAGGGAGCGUAGGCGGGGAUGCAAGUUGGAUGUUUAAACUAUCGGCUUAACCGGUAAUUGCAACCAAAACUGCAACUCUUGAGUGAAGUAGAG
rnacentral:rRNA from 1 species